rnacentral:rRNA from 1 species
GAUGAACGCUGGCGGCGUGCCUAAUACAUGCAAGUCGAGCGAACAGACGAUGAUCUUGCUCCUCUCACGUUAGCGGCGGACGGGUGAGUAACACGUGGAUAACCCCCUUAUAAUUCUGGUAUCACUUCGGAAAUCCGGAUCUAAUCCCGUAUAAUAUCUUGAACCGCAUGGUUCGUUAGUAAAAUACGGCUGUGCUGUCACUUCUCGCUGGAUCCCGGCCGCAUUAGCUAGUUGGUACGUUAACGGCUUAUCAAGGCUACCAUGCGUAGCCGAACUGAGAGAGUGAUAGGCGACACGGGAGCUGAGACACGGUCAAGACUACUACGAGAGGCAGCAGUAGGGAAUGUUACGCAAUGGGCGAAAGCAUGACGGAGCAACGCCGCGUGAGUGAUGAAGGUCUUCGGAUCGUAAAAAUCUGUUAUUAGGGAAGAACAGAUGUGUAAGGAAAUAUAGACGGCGUGACGGUACCUAAUAAGAAAGCAACGGCUAACUACGUG